AGGAGCAAGCCUUGUGGCAGGAAUGUAACAGCCUGGGAUGAAAAUCUCCUCCCUGCAUCUGUUUGGUGUCUUGGAUUUCUUACUCAUCAAGGAUUGCUUAUAAUUUGACACUGUCUCAUAUUAUAUCUCCCAACAUCGGCCAGCAUGACCAAGAAUUAUGGGAGUAAUAGUCCAGCAACAUCUGGAGAGCCACAGGUCAGCCACUUCUGGCCUAAAGGAUGUACUAAUCACCACCCCAUGGGGCUCUCAUGUGUUUAGAGACAAUGGGAGCUCUUCUACCAGUACCCGGGGGGGCCAGAGGUUUCCCAUCCCUGCAGUCAGGUAAGCCAAGAGAGACAAUGAAGGCCCUCAACGCCCUAAUGAACUUUAAGACUGAACAAAGAUUUAAAUGUCAUGCUUUCUGUGUGUCAAACAAACCCAAUAUUCUCCACCCGGCACCACACUGUGAUGAUUGCUGCUCAGUUACACCCACCUCCCUGCUGCGCUGUCUGACAUGACUUGGAGGAGGGGAGGUGCCGGGCAGAGCUGGGAACACAAAUUUCACCAGGGCGUAUUGGCGGGUGGCUGCAACUUUGUGGGAGACGAGAAGUUAAAUCACUAGGUGGCUGCCGAUUCUCUUCCUUUCCCUCCCUUUGUCUAAUGAGCCACUAUAAUGAAUAAACACAUCCCCAGUGGAGGCUGAUUUAGAAGAGGCCUCCCAGGCCCCCCACAGAAAAUAACCAAUUUAAUCGGGCAGGUUAACCUUCUUGCAGUCAGGGGGAGGGGAGAAGGGAAGAGACAGCAAGCACCAUAUUCCUUUACAUGGCCCAUUAGGCUUCUGGCAUCAACAGCAGCUUCCCUCCCUAGGCAAAUAGCAGCGGGCCCUUGGACCUAGGGGGAAAGAGUGAGCUUUCCCUCCCAUAAAACCCCAUGCCCUGCAGUCCAGAACAUGAUUGUCACAGAAACAUAGGAAGCUGCCUUAUUCCCAGUCAGAUGCAUUGAUGCAUCUAACUCAGUAUUUCCUACACCAGUGCUACUCAAAGGGGUGGUUCACGGAUCAGAGUCAUCAGCUGCCAGUCUCCAAUUACUCCACUACAGCCCAGGUUGGGUGGGAUGCUUCAGGGACCAAGCAUGCUACUGGUCCCUGGCACAUUGCAGUCCGGGUGGGUGGGAAUGCCAAUCCAACACACUAGAUAGCUUGAGAAGCACUGCUUUACACUGUGGCUCUGUAGGGUUUCAGUCUGGAUGCUGUCCCAGACCUACAUGGAGAUACCAGAGCAGAGGUGGUUUUAGGGUGGCCCAGUUGGUGUGGUUGCAGUGGGUGCCACGUUGCAGAGGGUGCCAAAACAAUGCUGCAGAACAGAGUGUGGGGAGCAGGGCAUUGCACAGGGCCCAAAGCCCUUCACUGAUUGGGGAUUGAACCUGAAAAUUUAUCCAUGUAAGUCUGCUACUCUACGACUGAGCUAUGUCCCUAUCCUUCUCCCAAGUCUGUUUUAAAGUAAAAAAAGGCGACAUCUAGAUGCUAUGUCCUCUGCCCUUCUCCUCUGUUGUUUCUACCUGCUCUGUAUACCCUGGGUAGGCAAACUAAGGCCCAGGGGCCAGAUCAGGCCCAAUCGCCUUCUAAAUCCAGCCCAUGGACGGUUCAGGAAUUAGCGUGUUUUUACACGAAUAGAAUGUGUGCUUUUAUUUAAAAUGCAUCUCUGGGUUAUAUGUGGGGCAUAGGAAUUUGUUCUCCCCCCCUUCAAAAUAUAGUCUGCCCCCCCCCCACAAGGUCUGAGGGACAGUGGACUGGCCCCCUGCUGAAAAAGCUUGCUGACCCCUGCUGUAGACUCUGUGGUUAACCACUGUCUCAUUAAUUCCUACCAUCAAUUCUAGACAUGUCUGCUGUUCUAUUUACCCAGGCUCACCCCAUAUUUGCAGAUGUUUUCAUGCACCUGAGUGCUUUUGAAGGGGAACAAAAGAGGUGCUUGACUUUGUCUACUGUAAAUUCAUGGUUGGGCAUUACCUGUGUUAGGAUCAGCCACAAUGUUCCAUAACAAUGGCAAGCUUCCAAGUUCUCCAGGAUUCCUCAUUGUGGCUAAAAGUCUAUGCAAAGCCGGCGCAACAGGGGAGUGAGUGGGUUAAAAAAAAUGCAGAAGGCUGAUAUUGUAGCCACGAGGUCCACCUUUAGACCCAAACUGUGCACAUGACACAUCAUACCUCAAAGCACAUUCUUUCCCCACAAAGAAUUAUGGGCACCGUAGUUAACCCCCCACAGAGCCUUGCCCCUCAUGGGCACUGUAGUUUAUCCCUCACAGUUCCCAGCAAUCUUUAACAACCCCUUUUCACAGUGGCCAAUCAGAUUCCCAUGGGAAACCCAGAAGCAGAACCUAACUGCAACCGCACUCUCUUCACCUGCGAUUCCCCGCAAUUUGUCUCCAAAGGCAUGCAGCCUUUGACAGUGGAAGUAGACAAUGGAAGUAAACAGUGCUGUUUUUCUUGAAAAAGAGGUGCCAGCACUCACCAUGAAUGCUUCCUUUGUUCUCUUAUAGUGGCAGUGGCACCUGCCUGAGUGGUGCUGGAACUGAGUUCCAGCUGAAAAAAGCAGCCCUGGAAGACAGCCACCAUAGCUAGCAGCCAGGGAUAGCUUUAUCAUCCAGGAAUUUGCUCUUUUAAAGCCAUCCAAGUUGGUGGCCAUCACUAUCUCUUGUUGAUGACUCUCAAACACAUUUGUUGCUGGCUCUGUAGCAUCUUCAUACCAGUUUCAAAACUUCCGAAUAUAUUUUGAGUUCACUUUUUCAUGCAAAUGUGAACCCUUCAAUUUAAUCUAUGAGUGUAAUGGGGCAUCCAAUAGCCCUUGGGGAAGCUGCCCAGUGAAGUCACAUUUACAUGCUGUUUUACACACACACACACACACACACACACACACAGACACACACACUUCAUGUGCGUGACCUGUUUUGUUUCCUUGUCCCCGCAAUCCCCCAACUCCUAUUCACGAAGCUGUCAUCUGCUCAUGCCCAGUCACCCAUGCAUGCAAAACAACUGUCUCAAAGAUACACACUUCCGUUUAACGGUGAAUGUUUUCCUUUCAGAUUGAGGUUGGUUUGAGGGGAAAUUCAUCAGACAGCAGUAUUUCCCAAGGAAGUGCAGGAUAGCUCUGCAUCAUGCAUGAUGUUUUGUGUACAUGUCUCUGAAAGCCAGUGGUGGGAGCGCACUGGAACCAGAGUAAAUGGCGAUGUGUACACAGCCUAAGAAAGUACUUAUGGAGAGAGGCUCAUUAAUCUUGCUGUAGCUGAACAAGUGCUCCUUGAAAUCACACCAAAGAAGGUCUCUAAUGAAGUGGCCCUUCUGGCCCUGAAUUGGCGCAUUGGUCUCCCUUUCAAAAAACAAUGGCUCCAGUCUGCACGCCAAGGGCAAAUGUGCCAGCAUAAGUAGAGGCUGAUGUGCAGAUAAGAGAAACUAACAUGCACAAUGCUCCUAAAAAGACUGGAUCCCUGGAUGGUUAAGUCCAGUCAAAGGUGACUAUGGGGUUGUGGUGCUCAUCUUGCUUUCAGGCCGAGGAGGCCAGUGUUUGUCCACAGACAGCUUUCUGGGUCAUGUGGCCAGCAUUAGUAAACUGCUUCUGGUGCAACGGAACACUGUGACGAGUGCCAGAGCACAUGGAAACGCUGUUUACCUUCCUGCCGCACUGGCGCGCUUUUGAACUGCUAGGUUGGCAGAAGCUGGGAGAGAGCAAUGGGAGCUCACUUCGUUGCAUGAAUUUGAACUGCUGACCUUCUGAUCGGCAAGCCUAAGAGGCUCAGUGGUUUAGACCACAGCGCCACAAUGCUCCCGAAGCCAGACAUCACAUAUAACCAAGUUGCUACUAAGCUUCCUUAAGAAUCCCUAUACUUGUAAUUUCAAAGGAAACCAGACCUCUAAGCAUCCCACAGUACAGAAGAACCAUAUUCAGCUGGAAGAGGAAGGGGUGAUGUUGAGAUGCCUCAUGUUAUUUACACCUACACAACUCUGAUGGGUUUAAGAAUGCACGCAGGACUUGCAACAAAACAUUGCAUUGUGGAGCACUCCCAUUCAGUGUUCUGGCCAGCCAGCCAGCCAGCCAGCCCCUCUCCCAGGGUCUCCACUCCAUUCCUUCUGGCAGAAGAGGAAGCAGCAGGAACCCAUCCUGUUAACACCUCUGUGCUCCUGCUCAGGUGACUAACGCAUCUCUUGGGGUUAUAUUUUAUAAUAUAACAUCCUAGAACAACAUCCUAGAGGUCCCAGGCCCAAAGGAAGUUAGAUUAGCCUCAACCAGAGCCAGGGCCUUUUCAGCACUGGCUCCGGCCUGGUGGAACGCUCUGUCUCAUGAGACCAGGGCCCUGCGGGAUCUGAUUUCUUUCCGCAGGGCCUGUAAGACAGAGUUGUUCCACCUGGCCUUUGGCUUAGAAUCAGUUUGAUUCCCUCCCCCUCUUUCUUCUUUCCUUUCUCCUCCUGUGAAGAGGCUGCAUUUUAAUGUUUUAAUGUUGUAUUUUAAUCUUGUUUUAAUGUUGUAUUUUAAUCUUGUUUUAAUGUUGUAUUUUAAUCUUGUUUUAAUGUUGUAUUUUAAUCUUGUUUUAAUGUUGUAUUUUAAUCUUGUUUUUUAAGUUGUAUUUUAAUCAACUUGUUUUUAUUAUUGAUUGUUAGCCACCCUGAGCCCAGUCUUGGCUGAGGAGGGUGGGGUAUAAAUAAAAUUUAUUAUUAUUAUUAUUAUUAUUAUUAUUAUUAUUAUUAUUAUUUGCAGCAGCCCUUGCCAGAGUCCACUCCCUGGAGAUCCAGGCUGACUCAGACGUCUAGGCCUUUGUGGGUGAGCCCGUGAUCCUGAAGUGCUGGUUCAAGUCCUCCUUCCCAGUCACAGAGAAGCUCACCAUCGAUUGGACAUAUCGACCUCUUGCAGGGGGCAAUUUGGAGCUGGUGGGUGGUGUUUUGACUGUCUGCCUCAGCC